UCGAGCGAGCUUGCCUAGAUGAGUUUGGUGCUUGCACCAGAUGAAACUAGAUACAAGCGAGCGGCGGACGGGUGAGUAACACGUGGGUAACCUGCCCAAGAGACUGGGAUAACACCUGGAAACAGAUGCUAAUACCGGAUAACAACACUAGACGCAUGUCUAGAGUUUAAAAGAUGGUUCUGCUAUCACUCUUGGAUGGACCUGCGGUGCAUUAGCUAGUUGGUAAGGUAACGGCUUACCAAGGCAAUGAUGCAUAGCCGAGUUGAGAGACUGAUCGGCCACAUUGGGACUGAGACACGGCCCAAACUCCUACGGGAGGCAGCAGUAGGGAAUCUUCCACAAUGGACGCAAGUCUGAUGGAGCAACGCCGCGUGAGUGAAGAAGGGUUUCGGCUCGUAAAGCUCUGUUGGUAGUGAAGAAAGAUAGAGGUAGUAACUGGCCUUUAUUUGACGGUAAUUACUUAGAAAGUCACGGCUAACUACGUGCCAGCAGCCGCGGUAAUACGUAGGUGGCAAGCGUUGUCCGGAUUUAUUGGGCGUAAAGCGAGUGCAGGCGGUACAAUAAGUCUGAUGUGAAAGCCUUCGGCUCAACCGGAGAAUUGCAUCAGAAACUGUUGAACUUGAGUGCAGAAGAGGAGAGUGGAACUCCAUGUGUAGCGGUGGAAUGCGUAGAUAUAUGGAAGAACACCAGUGGCGAAGGCGGCUCUCUGGUCUGCAACUGACGCUGAGGCUCGAAAGCAUGGGUAGCGAAC
rnacentral:rRNA from 1 species